GAUGUGUUUACAAAGUCAACAUACAAUAUACAUUUUGAAGUGGAAAACUUUCAUUGCUUGUGGUAAUGAGAUCUAAAAAGUCAUAAUUUGAUUUAUUAAUUAGAAACUGAGUGUUGUGUUUUAUAUAGAAAUAUAUAUAUAAAUUUAUAUAUUUCUAUAUAUAGAAUCUAUAUAUAAAUUCUAUAUAUAAAUCUAUAUAUAGAAAUAUAUAUAAAUUUAUAUAUAUAUUUCUAUAUAGA
rnacentral:lncRNA from 10 species